AAAAAAGAUGGCAACGGUACUGUGAUAAUCUCAAGGAAGAGUAUCUUCAUCAUCUGCCAGUAGCUGAGUCUCUGUAUGACGAACUAUGUUGGGCUUCCCAUAUGAGGAGAGCUUUGGUGAUUGAGAAUAAAGAUGCCCACUGUGGAGCUAUUGUCUUAUCUAAGAGCAGGAACCACCCGCUGUGUAGUACAGAUAGAGAAGGCCAAGCAUUUCUGCUGCAGUACAUACUAUGGAUGCCAUCAGAAGGUUGAAAUAUGGAAUGCACCAACAUACUCACCAUCCUGGUAUCUGAAGGCCUUUACUGUCCUCGUGUCAUGUUGCAAAUAGACACUGUCUAGGCCCUGAGUAUUCCACCAGGCUCUGCAGUAUCUUUGCCUCCCUGGGAUUUUGGCUGCCGAUGUGCAAGAUCAGCCCUGGUGUGGUGCAGGUUGGGAGGACACUGCCCUGCUGUCUUGGUGAUGGCCUGUGACUCCCAGCUUGUCUUUGCAGAUCAACCCACUGAAACAUGGUUCACAUAAAGCAAGGGCAUCGCACUCCUUUUGUCACCCGUGUGAUCACUUGGGACUUGGAACAGAAGGAAAAGAUUAAAUGGGAGAAAAGAAAGCGUCAUCAGUUUGCUGAAGGUACCUCAUUCUUUUUUAAUCCCGUGCGCUGAUGCACCCCACAUCUUCUGUGGUUUGUCGGCUCAAAGGGCUUCUCAAGAUACAAACCACGAUGGUCUUAGGCUGAAC